rfam:Aspergillus flavus AF70 136, whole genome shotgun sequence.
GCGUCGGUAGUGUAACGGUUAUCAUUCUUGCCUUCCAAGCAUGAGACCCGGGUUCGACUCCCGGCCGACGCA